rnacentral:lncRNA from 1 species
CUGACACUGCACGAGGUGGGGAGGAAGCGCUUGACAUGUAAUUCCCACUUAAACUGGCCGAGCUACGGGAGAGCUGCAGUCAUCUGCUGCGGGUCUUUUAUUGCGUGGCAAGUUUAGGAUAACAUUUUCAAAACAAACAACUUCAGACCUCUAAGUCCUCACGAGAUGAUACAAUACAUGGAUCUCAAGUGCAUCUGUGGGUUUCCCAGACGCCCGUGCGGGACUCCUGGCCACCGGAUGGUGGAUGGUACGCUCUGCCUUCAGAAUGGCUCUUCCCACUGUUCUGAAAUGCCCUCCCUCAUAGACACCUCAGGUGACUCUAAAUCCAGUCAACUUGUCAAAGAUCGUCAGAGUGUGUCAGUGAUCAAGUCAGAGGGAAAAACUCUUCAUCACAAAUCAUACUUUGAUAUUGGAGUGAGCAGGAUGUAGUCCACAGGGUACCACACCCACCUCACUUCUCUUCACCCUUCUGUCACUCCUGGCCACCAGUAGAGCCCACAGGCCGUUGGUACCAAGUCUCAUCCUCACUCUGACUCCCGAUGGGCGCUGAAGACGCAUCUUUUCAGUAACUGUAUCCUUCCAGGUUAGGACAUUGGAAACAUUCUCCUCCUUUCCCUUUAAUUUUGUUUUUGUUUUUGUUAUUGGCACCAAAUAGUUCAUAUGGCAGGACUUCUAUGGACCCACCGGCGACAUAAUGACACAGAGGCUUAUUAUCAUUUUAAAGCUUAGGCCUUAGCUCGGGAAAUAUCUCAGCUAGCUUAUCUUAACCCUACUAAUCCUAGCCUAUGUCCUGUCAUAUGCCUACAUUCACCUUUCUGCUCUGCUCUGGUCCAGCAGUUCACCCCUAGUCAACUGGUGAAUCUCCUGUGCCUCAGUUCUUCUCCCAGAGUCCCCGUCUCUGCCUGGAAGUCCCACCUUCCACUUCUUGCUCAGCCAUUGGCUAUCAGAUCUUUAUUACAUUCAAUAGGCAGGUAAGGAAGCAUGAAUGUUUACACAAAACGAGGCCAGUGAUGGGCCAUAGAUAGGACAGUACAAAGAUCUGGCUAGUACUUAGCUCUCUGCCAGUUUGGCAUGCAGUGGUUGGAUAUACAGAGACAACCUUCACACAGUGUACCAAAGGUUACCCAACAGGUUCAUCUUGGUGCUCAGAUUAGAAACCUAGCAAUUACCCAGGAAUCCUUUCUCCACCACUCUCUGUGUCCCAUGGGAAAUGGGCUCCUUUUAUUUACUUCAAAAAGCAAAGUGGAGGUUCUUGGGGCUGCGGCCUUUGCUCUUAGCACUGCUAUACUGCCAUGUUGG